rnacentral:lncRNA from 1 species
GAUCAUUGCAGCGGGUGCCCCGAGGGCUGGGCCCGGCUGCAUGGAUCUUGCCCAGUGUGCGGGAGCCCAGAGCUGCCCCUGGCCCCUGGCUCCUCCUGUCCCGGGACUGGGCCUCUUCCUUCUCCAGCACGGCCUCUGCUCUGGGCUCGUGUUCAGGGUGUGGGCUGUGCAUGUGCUGCUUUCUGUGUGGAUGUGGUGGGUGCCUGUGUGCUGUCCACGAGUGUGUCUGUCCGUGUGUGUCCAUGUGUGUGUCCACGUGUGUCAGUAUGUGUGUGUGCAUUCAUGUGUGUGGGUUCAUGUCUGUGUCCCCGUGUGUCUGUGUCCGUAUGUGUCUGUGUAUAUCCAUGUCUGUGUGUGUCAGAGUGUCUGUCCAUGUGUAUCAGUAUGUGUCCAUGUGUGUGUCCGUGUGUGUCCACGUGUGUCCACAUGCAUGUGUCUCUGUGCGCCUGUGUCCAUAUGUCUGUGUGUAUCCAUGUGUGUGUCCAUGUGUCUGUGUGUGUCUGUGUGUUCAUGUCUGUGUGUCCAUGUGUCUGGCCAUGUGUAUCAGUGUCUGUGUGUCUGUCCAUGUGUGUCUGUCCAUGUGUAUCAGCAUGUGUAUCUGUGUGUGUUCAUUUGUAUGUGUUCAUGUCUCUGUCCUCAUGUGUCUGUGUCCGUGUGUGUGUCCAUGUGUGUCAGUGUGUGUCUGCGUGUCCAACUGUCCAUCUGUGGGGUGCAGCUGACAGGGAGGGCUUGGCUGCACGAGGAAGCCAUGUGGGGCGAUGGGUGGGUCCAGGGGCCCAGGUAUGACGGUGAAGGGUUUGGGAGUGGCCUGGGAGCUAGGGCGGGCCUCGGGAGGCCACCUGUGAGUGUGUGUGAGAUGUUACCAGCGGUUGGCAGUGCCGUGUGACUUGGGUGCGUGCGGAGCCCUGGCACCAGUGUGCAUGACAGUGUGAGGGUGCGUGCGAGGGAUGGGUGCUUCCCUGGACCGAUUCAGGGUGGAAUGAGCCUGAGCGGCAAGAUGGGGACCCUGGGCGCCGACCCUGGCCUGGUGUGGCCACGCAGGUAGGCUGGGUGUCAGAAGGCAGGGGUCAGAGGAGUGGGCUCCGCACGGGCCCCUGUGCAGGGUUGGCCCAUUUGUGCCCAGGAGGUGACAGUGGAG